GUCUCAGCGAGGAGCUUACCGGGGCCGUGGAGCAGCGGGCUAGUCGAGCUCCUCUUUCCGUGGGCGAGGACAUCUCCUGUAUCUCACUGCACCAUGACGAACAGGGGGAGGCGCUUAACGCACCGGCGGCGAGUUUCUAGAGCUGCAAAUUGCAAGUGAGCUUUCCAAUCCACCUUUUAGUUGAUCCUCCUCCCGUGAGCAGUUGCAGGUCUAUGCAUGGCGAGACUGCUUAUAUAUGAGCACGCCGCGGUCGUCUACGUACUGCUAGGACGGUGACCGUCCAGGACUAGAGCGACCCGUGGCCGGCGACUUACAUACCGUAGGCGGCCGCCGGCGUGCAUGGUUCACAGCGUCAAGGAUCCACUGGCUCACCUCCACCUCGUUUUACACGGAGAGAAGAUUUGGAGCAGCUAUACAGAUAGAACGGACAUGCUCGCACCAUUCCUCUGGGAUCAUUUAGAUGGUUUUAUGCUCGCACCAUUUCUCUUGCUUAUUCUCUUUCUGGCUUAUCACUCUUGUUGUUCCGCCUGUGUAAUAGCGCGCUUGUGCGUCUGUUUUUCUGAACUUUACCUGUACCUCUCUAGUUUAUUUUCUUCCUCUUCCUCAUCAUCUCCUUACUUUUUUCUUUUCCUUUUGAUGAGAAAUUCUCCUUACUAUGGAAAGUUUGUUCUGUUUUGUGGCCUGAUCUCUCCCAAAUGAAACCUGAUAGUACAACCGUAAAGAUAUCACAAGUUCUUCUUCCCCUAGCAGCAGGCAGCAGAUCCUCCACUCAACACACCAAAAGCUUCGAAAAGCAACAAAAACACAACCAAACACUUCCUACAGCACCAGAACCUGAAAACCGAAGGAGAAAAAGGGAAAAGAGAGCUUCACAGCACCGAAAGAAACCCAAGAGCUAGCUGCAUGUCUGGUUACCUUCGGGGACACUUUCUACCCAUCGAUCCUCAACACCAUCGGCGCCCUCCUAGAGAUCUCGGACACAACGUUCAGUGGGCGUCUUGCCGCUUCUUUUGCAUUGUUUCAAUGGUGGAAGUAACUCGGUCGCAGUUGUAUUUCUGCGCUCCUGUUUCAAGGCUUCUUUAUCUAUCUAUCUGUCUAUGUUGAAGUCAAUACAAAUCCCUACUAUUGCUGACGGGAUCAGAAUGGUAGCGAUUGCUUGCAAGUGGAGCAUUGGAUCUUGUGGAAGAGUUGAAUUGGAAUCAGUCAUUGCUCAGGGAGGUUUUUUUUUAAGAGACGGAGGACAAUGAGUUGCGUUUUGUGGCCUUGAUGGCCCGCAGUGGUUCCUUCUCUCUACGGCCCAACUAUCUUAUCUCAAGGCCGACAAACAGGGCAGCUUGGUGGUCUGCUCAACUCUGAAACAGGGCCCGUUUCGAAGGCCGAAAAUGAGGGUGGAUUACAGGCCGAAUAAGAAGGAAGAAAAGAAUGAUGAUGACAAACCCAUUCACUUAUCGCCGCGACGCAAAUCAGGCGAUGAUCUUACCUACUAGGGACAAUGAGUCUUAUAGAACCUCUUUCACUUGUUGUGAAGAUAUUUGUGGUACAUAUUUGUAGAUUCAUUCGAACUCCGUUUUAAUUGUGUGUAAUACUGCAAAGAUAUUUGUGGUACAUAUUUGUUGAUUCACUUUGUGUAAUAUUAAGAAGAUAUUUGUGACCCCGUUUACACUUUGUGUAAUAUUAAGAAGAUAUUUGUGGUACAUAUUUCUUGCUUCA